GAAAUGCCCAGGGGAGGCGCUGGCAGCCUGAGAUCCUGGGGAGUCCGAAUGGGGCAACCCGGUGGGCGCACGGCCCAUCACCCGGGAAACCGGGAGGGAACCGCGGGAAGUGAAACAUCUGAGUACCGCGAGGAGUAGAGAGGAUUCCCCGAGUAGCGGCGAGCGAACGGGGAGGAGCCCAAACUGGUGCGGCGUACGAGCUGACUGGCGCUGCCGUAGCAGGGUUGGACGAGCGUGAUGGAGGGGGCAGUCGACCCCUCGCAUUGACGGACAGGGCGAGCGGAAGGCCACUGGAACGGGCCAUCGCAGAGGGUGAGAAUCCCGUACGCAAUCUCCUGACCGUGAGUGUGAUCAUGGAUCGUGAGUACCGCCGGACACGAGAAAUCCGGCGGGAAGCGGGGCGGACCACCGCCCAAGGCUAAAUACCGCCAUCGACCGAUAGUGAACCAGUACCGUGAGGGAACGGUGAAAAGCACCCCGGCGAGGGGAGUGAAAUAGAUCCUGAAACCCUGCGCUUCCGGCCGGUCGGAGCAGGAGCAAUCCUGUGACGGCGUGCCUUUUGUAGAAUGAGCCGACGAGUGAGCCGUGCGAGCGAGGCUAAGCCAGGGACAGGCGGAGCCGGAGCGAAAGCGAGUCCGAAAGGGCGACGAGUUCGUACGGAUCGACCCGAAACUGGGUGAUCUACCCAUGGCCAGGCUGAAGCGGGCGGAACACGCCUGUGGAGGGCCGAACCGGGAUCUGUUGCAAAAGAUCCGGAUGAGCUGUGGGUAGCGGUGAAAUGCCAAGCGAACCCAGAGAUAGCUGGUUCUCCCCGAAAUGCAUUUAGGUGCAGCCCCGGCAUGGGGCGCGGCGGAGGUAUCGCGCUGGAUUGACGAGGGGGCUACUCGCUUACCGACUCAAACCAAACGACGAAUGCCGCCGCGAUGGUGCCGGGCGUGAGACAGCGGGUGCGAAGAUUCGUUGUCGAGAGGGAAACAGCCCAGACCGCCAGCUAAGGUCCCCAACUACGGACUAAGUGGGCAAGGUGGUCGCGGUGCAGAAACAACCAGGAGGUUGGCUUAGAAGCAGCCACCCUUGAAAGAGUGCGUAAUAGCUCACUGGUCGAGUGUGCCGCGGCGCCGACAAUCCACCGGGGCUCAAGUCCGUGACCGAAGCUGCGGAUGGUGGAAACGCCAUGGUAGGGGAGCGUCCCCGUCAGCGGUGAAGCCAGCCUGGGAGGGCUGGUGGAGCGGCGGGGAGUGCGAAUGUCGGCAUGAGUAGCGCGAAGGGGGUGUGAAUCCCCCUCACCGAAUGCCCGAGGGUUCCGCAGCCAUGCUGAUCAGCUGCGGGUGAGGCGGGCCUAAGCCGAGGGCGCGAGCCGUAGGCGAUGGACAACCGGUCAAGAUUCCGGUUCCACCCACGACCGUUUGAGCGAUGGGGGGACGCGGGGGGCUAGGUCCCGGGGCAGCAAUGCCCUCCAAACUGGUAGGCGGAGCCGGGAGGCAAAUCCCCUGGCUCGAGCGCUGAGAGGUGAUGGGAAGGUGCGUGUGCAAACACAAGCCGCAGGGAUUGAGGCCGUACCGCCGAGAAAAGCCUCUAGUGAGGGCGUGGGUGCCCGUACCGCAAACCGACACAGGUGGGCUGGUCGAGUAGACCAAGGUGGACGAGAGAACCUCUGUCAAGGAACUCGGCAAAUUGGCCCCGUAACUUCGGGAGAAGGGGCGCCCCGUGUAGCGUGAAGGCGCGAGCCGCCGGAGCGUGAGGGGGCCGCAGUGACCAGGCCCAGGCGUCUGUUUACCAAAAACACCGGUCCCUGCCAACGCGGAGAGCGUGGACGUAUAGGGGCUGAGACCUGCCCAGUGCCGGAAGGUUAAGGGGAGCGGUGCAAGCUGCGAACCGAAGCCCCGGUAAACGGCGGCCGUAACUAUAACGGUCCUAAGGUAGCGAAAUUCCUUGUCGGGUAAGUUCCGACCCGCACGAAAGGUAGAACGAUCUGGGCGCUGUCUCGACAGGGGACUCGGCGAA
rnacentral:rRNA from 1 species